rnacentral:sRNA from 10 species
GAUCGCGGGGAUCACCACCGGUCGGCGAGUUUCGCCCACCGGUGCAUUUUGC